rnacentral:lncRNA from 12 species
GCGGAGUCAGUAUCCAUCACAGACCAGUCCCAAGCCCUGAGAGCCUUUUAUUUGUUGCACAUGUUCUUAAGGAUGAGUUUCAUUAAUUAAAAUAGGAAAAAGGAAUUGCUAUACUAUAAAAUGGCCUCAGCCGUGAUGAAAAAUCUUUCUGAUAUUUCAAGAAAACUUAUCCUUCACUUAUUCUUAAGGUAUAUGGAAGUUUGGCCCUAGAACUUAACCCCGUGGCCUGCUGGCAUCAGAACAAGGAAUGGGGCACACUCCACGCCUCCAGUAUAUUUGCUAGUGACUGUAAUGAAAUCGGAUACCAGCCACAGCUUUUAGGUAUGGUGGUAACAAUCAGAAAGCCUGGGCCCGGACUAUAUUUUGAGAAUGAAAAGUAUUUGAUUCAUCUGAAAAGUUGAACUUUUCUUCAAGUCUUCUGUGAACAAGAGUUACUUUCCAGCAGUUUCCCAUUGAAAUGAGCUAAAACGCUGAUCCAAUGCUAUGCCUUUUUGGAGUGAUUUUUGAAAACUGAGAAACUUUAGAAAUAAUAACUUAUUCUAUAGCCAAGUUCUAUAUGGUUAUUGUAAAUUUAUCACUCAGGAGUCACUCUGUUUUCUAUGUCAUCUUCAAGUUCAGAGCAGUUACUUAGGGAGAUGGCUUCUGUCUGAUAAGAUGCAAAAUACUGUAACGCCUAUUGUAAAUUAAAUGGGAGGACAAAGGUAAAUUGAAUACCCUAGAAAUGUGAUUAGUUUGUCCAUUUAGAAGUUCGUGGAUUAGCUCUGGAGGCUCAGGUAUUGAAUGUAGGUUUUCAAGAAUAAGAAUGAAUUACAAUACACUUGAUGCAAGUUAAAAUAAUUAUGAACAAUGGCAUAUCAUGAUAAAGUGAGAAAGCAUUGCCCAUGAGCUAUCUUCUG